UACGUAGGUGGCAAGCGUUGUUCGGAAUUAUUGGGCGUAAAGGGCGCGUAGGCGGCUUGUUAAGUCGGCUGUGAAAGCCCGGGGCUCAACCCCGGAGGGUCAGCCGAUACUGGCAGGCUAGAGUACGGAAGAGGUAGCUGGAAUUCCCGGUGUAGCGGUGAAAUGCGUAGAUAUCUGGAGGAACACCGGUGGCGAAGGCGGCAUCCUGGACCAAUUCUGACGCUGAGUGAGCGAAAGCCAGGGGAGCAAACGGG
rnacentral:rRNA from 1 species